GAUGAAGAACGUAGUGAAAUGCGAUAAGUAAUGUGAAUUGCAGAAUUCAGUGAAUCAUCGAAUCUUUGAACGCACCUUGCGCUCCUUGGUAUUCCGAGGAGCAUGCCUGUUUGAGUGUCAUUAAUAUAUCAACCUUCUCUUUUUUGAGUUGUUUGGAUGUGGGGGUUUGCUGGCCUCUUAAAUGAUUCAGCUCCCCUGAAAUGCAUUAGCAGAACAACCUGUUCAUUAGCGUGAUAAUUAUCUAUGCUAUUGAAUGUGAGGGCAGUUCAGCUUUCUAACCGUCCUUGGACAAUUCAUCAUUAAUGUGACCUCAAAUCAGGUAGGACUACCCGCUGAACUUAAGCAUAUCAAUAAGCGGAGGA
rnacentral:misc_RNA from 1 species